AUAGUGCACAAGAUAAUAAAUUCAAAAUUAAACAGAUUGAGUAAAAAGGAAGUUUAAAUAUUAGACCUCUCUUUAGGAAGGCAGUGUAAGUCACAUCAAGGAAGGUGUGACUAGGGCUGUAUAACCAAAGUGAUUUCACUCCUAAGUGCCAGAAAAUUGGUCAGUAAAACAGCAGAGGCAUAACCUAUUCACCUAAACUGCUUUGUUAAGUUAAAGUUGUUUUGGUACUUGUAGUAUCUCUUUAAGCUCCAUCGUUUGUUAAGAAUGUUAACC